GACGAACGCUGGCGGCGUGCCUAAUACAUGCAAGUCGAACGCACUCUCGUUUAGAUUGAAGGAGCUUGCUCCUGAUUGAUAAACAUUUGAGUGAGUGGCGGACGGGUGAGUAACACGUGGGUAACCUGCCCUAAAGUGGGGGAUAACAUUUGGAAACAGAUGCUAAUACCGCAUAAAACCUAAACACCGCAUGGUGUAGGGUUGAAAGAUGGUUUCGGCUAUCACUUUAGGAUGGACCCGCGGUGCAUUAGUUAGUUGGUGAGGUAAAGGACUCACCAAGACCGUGAUGCAUAGCCGACCUGAGAGGGUAAUCGGCCACACUGGGACUGAGACACGGCCCACGACUCCUACGGAGGCAGCAGUAGGGAAUCUUCCACAAUAGGACGAAAGUACUGAU
rnacentral:rRNA from 1 species